UGACGUUCGUCAGCCGUGUAGGUUUCACCUAGCCGCAGAAUAACAAACAAAACUUCGCCGCAGUCAGCACUCAGCAGCAUUUUUUUUAGUAAAUGCUGAAAAAUGUACACUAGGUAAAAUAAAAAAAGAAAUUCCCUAAAUGAGAUUUAGAGUCAAUUUAACGAGGAUCAAGACUACAAAGAGGGAAAGUUUAUACUUAUAUUUUAAAUAGCUGACAAGAGAUACAAUGAUCAGAAGGACUCCAACACGAAUUGAACUUAAAUCGGAAGAUUUACAAGAGUACAUAAAGUUGUAUCAUGCCAAAA